UGAGCCAAGUUUAGGGUUUUCUCAAAACCCAAGCAGUAUUGAACUGAAGAGUUUGAUCAUGGCUCAGAUUGAACGCUGGCGGCAGGCCUA
rnacentral:rRNA from 2 species